CAUUCUCUGAUCUGGAUCAUCUUUCAUUAAACCAAUUGCUCUUUAAUUACUUUUGACACAAUUGAAGACAAUUUUAUUAAGCUUUAUGUUAGGUAUUCUACAGGACCCUAAGAUAUUGGUGGUUCGUAAGAAAUAGCUCUUGUGGUGGGGGACGUGUCUCAGUGAUGAUUGCUGCAGAAAACUGAAGACCAGCGUCCAAAUCCCCAUCGCCCAUAGACAAGGCUUCCUUCUCAACUGCCUUGAUCCUCCCUGUAGACUCAUGAGUGUCUAGAUUAUAAUUAAGCUCCUUGGCGACUGGAGUCCUGGUGGAGUUGCCAUUGAUACUGUGGUGUGGACGUGACCCUUCUGUCAACUGUACUUUCUGGUUUUCUACAGUAAGAAAAAAAGAAACAUGAAACUUGUCAGUGUGGAAACCAAGGUCCAGCCCAGGACCUCUGAACAGUGUGAAAUCAGAGCCUACUGGGGACAGUGGAAGCCAGUGACAUAAUACCAGCUGAAAUAGUGACUUUAAGAGCCGAUUCAGGGCAAUGAUGACUUCCUGUGAGUCUGGUGGUUACAGUGACCGCUUUUCCUCGACAUUUCUUCCUCUAUCCUUGAUGACCCUACAGCAGUACUGUGCAUUCACUUGCUCCUGUGACAUUCCUGUUGUUCCAAGCACACAUUGUCUGUUAGCCCCAAGUGUGGCCCCUUCCCUGAGGGCUCAUCACUUUCUAUGGCCUCAACCUUGGGUUUUUGGCCUCAAAUUUUAUACCACUAUGAUUAACACAUUUCUGAGUUAAAGAAUCUUAGGAUUUUGUUUUGUUUUCUUUUAUCUUUUCUUUGUGUGUGUGUGUGUAUGUGUGUGUGUGUGUGUGUGUGUGUGUGUGUGUGUGUAUUCUCCCUAAAUUCCCUCAUACCCAAAUACACGUGCUUCCUUUCUUCCAGGAAAACUAUCUUACUACUUUCCUUUACUUCCACUGUUUUAAUUAGUGGUACCAUCAUCUCCUGAUUUAUUGCAUUAUUUUUAUCACAGGGAAAGAGCAGUAAUUCUAAUAAUAGCUCAUCACCCUAUAAUAUAACACCUAAUUAUCCUCUUUUAUUUUACCCAGAGAUUACUCAGCCAGAAACCUUGGUAAUAAUGGUAGUCAAAUAGUUCUCUGUUGGAAUUUGCUCUAUUGGAGGACCUUGAAUGAUGCACACAUGUUCUUUCAUUUGGCCACAAUUAUAUAUAUGCACAUAUAAAAUUGUGAGUAUGCGUAUGCGUGUGUGUGUGUGUGUGUACAUACUGGAGAGAAACUGCUAUCGUGUUAAAGCACAGAUAUUCCAGGACUUGUCUUGAUAAAGACUACUGGAUUACCUUUGCUAAAACCACAAUAAAAUUAACUAGAAGAUUACUUUACUAUUCUUAGAAUUCUGAAGUAUAUUAGAAACUCCUAUUUCCAUUAAUAUUUAUCAGUGCCAUAUUUGAUAUAAUGUGUUCAGAAGCUUAUUUACUUGGUAAAAAAGAAAGUUGGUCAGAUCAAGUUUCAAAAGUAUUUGUCUUUCAGUAUUUGAAAUUUGGUAAAAAGAACUUUACUCACAAAACUGAUUCCCUGUAUAUUGACAUAUAUAGUAAUAUGUAUAAUUUAUAGUGUUCUCAAAGCUUUCAUCUUUAAGUCCAAAAUAUCAUAGACUUAGAAAAUGCUCUUAUACUAGUGUUCAAUCUGGUUGCUU